CGAGCGGUAGAGAUCUUUCGGGAUCUUGAGAGCGGCGUACGGGUGCGGAACACGUGUGCAACCUGCCUUUAUCUGGGGGAUAGCCUUUCGAAAGGAAGAUUAAUACCCCAUAAUAUAAGAAACGGCAUCGUUUUUUAUUGAAAACUCCGGUGGAUAGAGAUGGGCACGCGCAAGAUUAGAUAGUUGGUGAGGUAACGGCUCACCAAGUCUACGAUCUUUAGGGGGCCUGAGAGGGUGAUCCCCCACACUGGUACUGAGACACGGACCAGACUCCUACGGGAGGCAGCAGUGAGGAAUAUUGGACAAUGGGUGAGAGCCUGAUCCAGCCAUCCCGCGUGAAGGACGACUGCCCUAUGGGUUGUAAACUUCUUUUGUAUAGGGAUAAACCUACCCUCGUGAGGGUAGCUGAAGGUACUAUACGAAUAAGCACCGGCUAACUCCGUGCCAGCAGCCGCGGUAAUACGGAGGGUGCAAGCGUUAUCCGGAUUUAUUGGGUUUAAAGGGUCCGUAGGCGGAUUUGUAAGUCAGUGGUGAAAUCUCACAGCUUAACUGUGAAACUGCCAUUGAUACUGCAGGUCUUGAGUGUUGUUGAAGUAGCUGGAAUAAGUAGUGUAGCGGUGAAAUGCAUAGAUAUUACUUAGAACACCAAUUGCGAAGGCAGGUUACUAAGCAACAACUGACGCUGAUGGACGAAAGCGUGGGGAGCGAACAGGAUUAGAUACCCUGGUAGUCCACGCCGUAAACGAUGCUAACUCGUUUUUGGGUUUUUAAGAUUCAGAGACUAAGCGAAAGUGAUAAGUUAGCCACCUGGGGAGUACGUUCGCAAGAAUGAAACUCAAAGGAAUUGACGGGGGCCCGCACAAGCGGUGGAUUAUGUGGUUUAAUUCGAUGAUACGCGAGGAACCUUACCAAGGCUUAAAUGGGAAAUGACAGGUUUAGAAAUAGACUUUUCUUCGGACAUUUUUCAAGGUGCUGCAUGGUUGUCGUCAGCUCGUGCCGUGAGGUGUUAGGUUAAGUCCUGCAACGAGCGCAACCCCUGUCACUAGUUGCCAUCAUUAAGUUGGGGACUCUAGUGAGACUGCCUACGCAAGUAGAGAGGAAGGUGGGGAUGACGUCAAAUCAUCACGGCCCUUACGCCUUGGGCCACACACGUAAUACAAUGGCCGGUACAGAGGGCAGCUACACAGCGAUGUGAUGCAAAUCUCGAAAGCCGGUCUCAGUUCGGAUUGGAGUCUGCAACUCGACUCUAUGAAGCUGGAAUCGCUAGUAAUCGCGCAUCAGCCAUGGCGCGGUGAAUACGUUCCCGGGCCUUGUACACACCGCCCGUCAAGCCAUGGAAGUCUGGGGUACCUGAAGUCGGUGACC
rnacentral:rRNA from 1 species